rnacentral:lncRNA from 1 species
GGGAAGGAGGUCUGUGAACAUCAGGAAUUGCAAAAUCUUGCUGAACCAAUAGACCAACAGCCAUUAACAUUUGUCAAUGCAAAGAUCCUAAAAUAUACAAGUGUGGAGUUGUCCUGCCCUAAGAGCUGAAGCUGUGACAAUCACGCUGCCAUGAAAAAAACGCUUUCGUAUAUUUUUCCUGCUGGGUGGUCAGAAGGAAAGGCCGUGAAGCUAAAGGUCUCCCACUGAGACGCUGUUCUGCAAGGAGCCGACCUCACGUGCCGCCGCCGCCAGAGAAGAGAGCACCUGUUCAUCUCGGCUCACUGUGAGGCUGAGCUCAGCGCUGGCAGGCGAGGGGCCGCAAGCAUCCCCCACAGCCACCGAGAGGGCAUCCCUGCAGGGAAAUCAUAUCCGACAUGCCUGUGCCCACAGCAGACUUAAGACUGCCUCUAAAAUGUCCAUGAAGCCAUUGUCCAGU